rnacentral:rRNA from 1 species
AUUGAACGCUGGCGGCAUGCCUUACACAUGCAAGUCGAACGGCAGCACGGGAGCAAUCCUGGUGGCGAGUGGCGAACGGGUGAGUAAAGCAUCGGAACGUGCCCAGUCGUGGGGGAUAACGUAGCGAAAGCUACGCUAAUACCGCAUACGAUCUGUGGAUGAAAGCGGGGGACCGUAAGGCCUCGCGCGAUUGGAGCGGCCGAUGUUAGAUUAGGUAGUUGGUGAGGUAAAGGCUCACCAAGCCGACGAUCUGUAGCUGGUCUGAGAGGACGACCAGCCACACUGGGACUGAGACACGGCCCAGACUCCUACGGGAGGCAGCAGUGGGGAAUUUUGGACGAUGGGCGCAAGCCUGAUCCAGCAAUGCCGCGUGCAGGAUGAAGGCCUUCGGGUUGUAAACUGCUUUUGUACGGAGCGAAACGGCUUCCACUAAUACUGGGGGCUAAUGACGGUACCGUAAGAAUAAGCACCGGCUAACUACGUGCCAGCCGCCGCCGUAA